rnacentral:lncRNA from 1 species
GUGGCUCAACAGGCGGGGUAGGUGUCUUCGGGGGUUCAACUGGCGGUGUUGGCAUCUUUGGUGGCUCAACGGGUGGUGUCGGCGUCUUGGGUGGCUCAACAGGUGGUGUCGGCGUCUUAGGUGGCUCAACCGGAGGUGUCGGUGUCUUGGGUGGCUCAACUGGUGGUGUUGGUGUCUUCGGUGGCUCAACCGGUGGUGUUGGCGUCUUUGGUGGCUCGACGGGUGGUGUCGGUGUCUUGGGGGGUUCAACCGGCGGUG